UACGGAGGGGGCUAGCGUUGUUCGGAAUUACUGGGCGUAAAGCGCACGUAGGCGGCCUUUCAAGUCAGAUGUGAAAGCCCCGGGCUUAACCCGGGAAUUGCAUUUGAUACUGUUGGGCUUGAGACCGGGAGAGGAUAGCGGAAUUCCCAGUGUAGAGGUGAAAUUCGUAGAUAUUGGGAAGAACACCAGUGGCGAAGGCGGCUAUCUGGACCGGUACUGACGCUGAGGUGCGAAAGCGUGGGGAGCAAACAGG
rnacentral:rRNA from 1 species